UUCAGAGUUUGGUAGGAGACUAUAUCUCUGGUCUGCUGCCUGCUCUCGAGUUCGCGUUUAAAGUUGCCUCGAGCCUGGUACACCACUGAAGACUAGGGUAGGGAAAGUAAGGGAUUUGUUGUUUUUAGUGUACUUUUGGUUUUGUGUUGUAGCAGGUCAGGUAAUCAUUUUGGGUUUGACUGUUGUGCUCUUUUGUGUUGGUCACAUGUUACUUUUUGUGUGUUCAGUGUGGCAACUUCAGAUCCUCAUGUAGGGGCAUCCAUGCUUAAAGAUGCCAACUUGCUUCAGAGGAACUUUUAAUUUGUUUAGGGGUCCUAGAGGAACCCUUUUAAGGGAGGAGGUGUUACGUCCCUCUGCAGCUUCUAAUCGUCUCAGUGUUUUCAGCUGGUGCUAAUUGGCCACACCUAGUCAGGUGUGGCCAAUUAGCACCAGCUGAAAACACUGAGACGAUUAGAAGCUGCAGAGGGACGUAACAUUCAGUAUUGAUAUUUGUAAAUGUAAACUAUGAGGAUUUAUUUAUUUUUAAUUCUUUUCUUUUUUUUUCUUUUUUUCCCUCUUUUUUUCUUUUUCCAAAUAAAUGUCCCGAUUGAGUAAUGAAACUAACCCAAAGGAGAAUUCUAACAAUAUUAGACAGGCCAUUCAAUAUGCUUUAUCGUGGACAACUCGUGGCUAAAAACCCACACACACACACACACACAAACCUCUAAUCAAACAUGAAAACGGAUAAUCCAGCUGAAGCUUCAGACAGCCGUCAGACAGUGAAACACUGCCAUCUGCUGGACUCGAAUAACAAAGACGCUGCUUUGACGGGUGAGGGAGUUUCAACAAGUCUGCAACGACUCAAGCAUCAAACUACAGAACUAUUCUAGCGGACAUGGUGCUCUAAUGACUGCUUCAUUAACGCAGGUCAGAAAGGAUCAAACAUAUCAAUAAAUUAUAAAACACAAAACGUCUCUUAUUGCCCAGGGCUCAGGAAGUGAGUGUGUUCCUUAUAGCCUAUUAAACCUUAGCAGGUUAUUUUGAUGUGUUACAGAUGAAACAGCUAUCCAGUAACAUUCAGCUACAAAAACGCUUUUUUAUAAUUACUUUUUUACAGCUUCGCACUUUUACACAAGUUUUAUCAUCAGUGUCACAAUGGCUGCUGCUAAAAUU
ensembl:lncRNA